rnacentral:rRNA from 1 species
CUUGACAUGGUCGGAAUCCUGCUGAGAGGCGGGAGUGCUCGAAAGAGAACCGGCGCACAGGUGCUGCAUGGCUGUCGUCAGCUCGUGUCGUGAGAUGUUGGGUUAAGUCCCGCAACGAGCGCAACCCUUGUCCUUAGUUGCUACGCAAGAGCACUCUAAGGAGACUGCCGGUGACAAACCGGAGGAAGGUGGGGAUGACGUCAAGUCCUCAUGGCCCUUAUGGGUAG